CCUAAUUGAAGAGAUGCACUAGAAUACAUGAAUAUAUAUAAACUAUAAAAACCUGUCUAUUAACAUUCAAAAAAAGAGAGUAUUUCAAGUGCUGAACAUAUAUCAAGAACAGCAUUUAUUGACAUAUAUAUUGAAAUCCAGAUAAAGCAUAAAGAAAUUACUUAAGAAUUUUUAAUAUUCAAGAGAGAGAGGUCAUCUCAUACUUUUACUUCUGCAAGUAGCACAGACACACAUGUAAAAAAACAUACAUGACAUACAAUAUUUAUGCCAUCUUUAAUCACUUAAUAAACCAAAACAGAACAAAUCUGUUUUGAGCUUAUAUACGAUUUCAGAUGUUAAAAUCUAAGAAAUCCAUACAGAGAAAUGAAAUAACUCUCAAACUUUGUAUAACAAUAGUAGUAUUAGAUUCUUAUUGAUCUAGUAAGCAAUCGGACCGUGAUGCUUCAAUUCCCCAAGAAAGAAGAGAAAAGUGGAUAAGAUGUAUUUGAUAUUAAAAUCAUUUUUGGUGAAGAAGAGAAGAGAGAAAACCUUUAGAUCAGAUUAGACUGGGAGUGAAAAGGCAAGCAGGUAGAGGUAGAGGUAGGGUUUCUUCUUCUUGAGUGAACCCAUCUUCAUCGGCUAAACCUCCUCUUUCUUCCUUCUCUUUCUGGUUCUUCCGAGCUUGGUUGGGGUGCUGGAAGGCGGUAGUUUUGGUGCGGUUGGUAGAUAGCAAAAGAUGGAGUGGCGAUGAUGAAAGUGAGGGAAUAAUGAUGAGAGGAAGAGGGUAGAGGACAUGAUGAUGGCUGCAGGCUGUUUUUUUUUUGCUUUGAAUAGAGAGAUAAAUAUCACAAAGAUUUGCGUGCUUAUUUAGUAUUAUACAAGAGAGGUUUUAUGCUUUGCUUCCUUGUUUCACAUGGGGAUAAUUAUCAUGGACGCCAGCCGAAGCAAUUUGCUUUUCUCGAUCCUAACCCAAAAGAUUGAGAAGUUUCUACACACUCUUCUUGUCUACAAUAUAUUGAUAUGCAAGAAGGGCGUACAAUAUAAUACUGAAUGUAAAGAUAGGAAGAAUGGACUAGCUUUGGUGGUGGUUUACCC
rnacentral:lncRNA from 1 species